AUUGAACGCUGGCGGCAGGCCUAACACAUGCAAGUCGAACGAGUGGCGGACGGGUGAGUAAUGUCUGGGAAACUGCCUGAUGGAGGGGGAUAACUACUGGAAACGGUAGCUAAUACCGCAUACCAUCAGAUGUGCCCAGAUGGGACUAGCUAUUUGGUGGGGUAACGGCUCACCAAGGCGACGAUCCCUAUAUGGUCUGAGAGGAUGACCAGCCACACUUGACCUGAGACACGGUCCAGACGCCGACGGGCGGCAGCAGUGGGGAAUAUUGCACAAUGGGCGCAAGCCUGAUGCAGCCAUGCCGCGUGUAUGAAGAAGGCCGUCGGGUUGUAAAGUACUUUCAGCGGGGAUGCGUUAACCGCAGAAGAAGCACCGGCUAACUCCGUGCCAGCAGCCGCGGUAAUUC
rnacentral:rRNA from 1 species